GGCUACGUAGCUCAGCUGGUUAGAGCACAGCACUCAUAAUGCUGGGGUCGGUGGUUCAAGUCCACCCGUAGCCACCA
rnacentral:tRNA from 6 species